rnacentral:lncRNA from 1 species
GGGUGAGUCACUAACAGUGGAGUGACUAAAGAAAAUAGUCAGCAAUGGCUGGCUAGGAGGAGGAGCUGCUACAGAGUGGAGAAGGCUGUGGCAUCAGCCAGAUCAGAAUUUGCUGUGUCACUCUUGAAUUGCAUUGCCCAGACACAGAGUUAAGAGUGUCUCAUGAUGAUAACAACAAGGGUGAAGGAGAAUUCCUCCAAGGGGACCAGACUCCUAGCCAACAAGAAAUGUGACUACCCCACUCUAACCAGAAUGUGUCUCAUGGAUACGAAAGAGGAGCCAAUGAGAUGCUGAACACCGCUAUGGUUUGGAUAUGAAGCCCCCACUCCUGCUCCUGUAUUAAAGGCACGGUCCCACAUGCAAGUUCAGAAGAGGGACUUUGGGGAGAGUGACUUUCUAUGACUCCAGUCCCAAAACAGCCAGUGUCUUCCUACUGUGCAAGUUU